AAGAAAGUAAAUAAGAGCGUAUGGCGGAUGCCUUGGCUCUCAGAGGCGAUGAAGGACGUGAUAAGCUGCGAUAAGCCACGGUUAGGUGCAAAUAACCUUCAACCCGUGGAUUUCCGAAUGGGGCAACCUAUCAUACUGAAGGUAUGAUGCAUUGCGCAAACCCGGAGAACUGAAACAUCUAAGUACCCGGUGGAAAAGAAAACAAUAGUGAUUCCCUUAGUAGCGGCGAGCGAACGGGGAAUAGCCCAAACCCUAAUGGUCUAGGCCUUUAGGGGGUUGUAGGACUGCAACGUGGAAUGUGUUUUUAUAACAGAAUUACCUGGAAAGGUAAGCCAUAGAAGGUGAUAGCCCUGUACGUGAAAUAUUAAUACUACCUAGCAGUAUCCUGAGUAAGGCGGGACAUGUGAAAUCCUGUCUGAAUCUGCCGGAACCAUCCGGUAAGGCUAAAUACUCCUGAGAGACCGAUAGCGAACUAGUACUGUGAAGGAAAGGUGAAAAGUACCCCAAACAGGGGAGUGAAAUAGAACCUGAAACCAUACGCUUACAAACUGUAGGAGCCCUUCGGGGUAACUGCGUGCCUUUUGCAUAAUGACCCUACGAGUUGCUCCUCACUGGCAAGGUUAAGGACUUUAGGUCCGGAGCCGAAGCGAAAGCGAGUCUGAAUAGGGCGCAUAGUCAGUGGGGGCAGACGCGAAACCUUGUGAUCUACCCUUGGCCAGGUUGAAGCUCCGGUAACACGGAGUGGAGGACCGAACCAGUUAACGUUGAAAAGUUUUUGGAUGAGCUGAGGGUAGGGGUGAAAGGCUAAUCAAACUGGGAGAUAGCUCGUACUCCCCGAAAUGCAUUUAGGUGCAGCCUCGAGGUUUAGUGUCAUAGAGGUAGAGCUACCGAUUGGGCUAGGGGGCUUCACCGCCUACCAAACCCUGACGAACUCCGAAUGCUAUGACAUAUACUCGGGAGUGAGGGCAUGGGUGCUAAGGUCCGUGUCCGAAAGGGAAAGAACCCAGACUAUCAGCUAAGGCCCCUAAAUAUACGCUAAGUUGGUUAAACGUGGUCCGAUUGCUUUGACAGCUAGGAUGUUGGCUUGGAAGCAGCCAUUCAUUUAAAGAGUGCGUAACAGCUCACUAGUCGAGCGAUUGGGCGUGGAUAAUAAUCGGGCAUAAAGUGUAUUGCCGAAGCUGUAGCUUUCUGUAGUAAUGCAGAAGGGGUAGGGGAGCAUUCUAGUCUGCACUGAAGGUGUAUCGUAAGGUAUGCUGGAGCGGCUAGAAAAGAAAAUGUAGGGAUAAGUAACGAUAAAGCAGGCGAGAAACCUGCUCACCGCAAAGCCAAGGUUUCCUGAUCAACGCUAAUCGGAUCAGGGUUAGUCGGGACCUAAGGCAAACCCAAACGGGGUAGUCGAUGGACAAUAGGUUAAUAUUCCUAUACCGACAUACAUUGCGAUGGGGUGACGGAGUAGUGAAAGAACUGCGUACUGACGGAAUAGUACGUUGAAGAGCUUAGGUAUAUCAUUGGCAGGUAAAUCCACCAGUGAUGCUGAAACUCGAUAGUACCGCAAAGCUUCGGCUAAGUGGAUAAUGUUCCUAAUCAAACUUCCAAGAAAAACCCCUAAGCUUCAGAUGUAUGCCGCCCGUACCGUAAACCGACACAGGUGGCUGAGGAGAAUAUCCUAAGGUGCUCGAGUGAUUCACGGUUAAGGAACUCGGCAAAUUGGUCCCGUAACUUCGGAAUAAGGGACGCCCCGUGCAAACGGGGCCGCAGAGAAUAGGCCCAGGCGACUGUUUAUCAAAAACACAUGGCUAUGCCAAAUCGAAAGAUGAUGUAUAUGGCCUGACACCUGCCCGGUGCUGGAAGGUUAAAAGGAGAUGUCAUCCGCAAGGAGAAGCAUUGAAUUGAAGCCCCAGUAAACGGCGGCCGUAACUAUAACGGUCCUAAGGUAGCGAAAUUCCUUGUCGGGUAAGUUCCGACCUGCACGAAU
rnacentral:rRNA from 1 species